UCCCACCUGGCUGCUUCCCCUGCUCCCAUCCCUGCGUGUGCUCUGGGAGGACUGGCAGAGGUGUUGGGAUGUUUGGGGAGCAGGAACCAUCCUGCUGGAGCUGCCAGCCCUGCAGGAGCUCCAGGACCCCCCUCCCAUCCCGGGGAGCUGCUGUCCCACCCAACCCCAUCCCCAGGGCUCUGCCAGCUGCCAAGAUCAGGCCUUAAAACAGGAGUUAAACCAGGCCUUAAACCAGCUUUAAUUUGGAGUUAAACCUGCCUUAAACCAGGCCUGCCCCUGGGGUCUCCCUCAGCCAGGGCUUGGUGGUGGGACCUGCAGUGCCAACAGGAAAAGAGAUCUGGACCACGAGGCCCUGCCUCCUCCAGGCUCAGCUCUAAUUCCCAAAUGUGUUCGUUUCUAACCCCUAGGAUUAAUUACUGCUCAAUUAACAGGGUUUGCAGGUGGCUGGAGGCCUGGCAGGGCUGCUGUGCUGAGCACUGGGGGUUGGGGUCAGUGGUGACUCUGACAGGGCAGGGAGUGGCUGCAAUUCCUGUGGAUCCUGGCUCAGCUAGAAAAAUGUGCAAUAAAAUAAUUUUCAAGCCUC